CUGAUUUCAGGAAACGUGGUCGCGCGGGUCGCUGACCGAGAUGUCUGGGUGCGACAAAGAUUGCGCCCAGAUAAACAAGUCAGACUCGCACUCGGUAGUGAGUGAUGGGCGACAAAAGGCAAGGCCAACACAAAGGGGCAUUUUUGUUAUCGAAAAGCCCUUGAAGCAACUAAAGCUAAAGAACAUGAGGUUAGCUAAAAAUCAUCUGGCUUGCUCAGAAGGUCUGUUUGGGUGUUUCGUGUUCGCAGGGCAGCACCUGUUGUACUGUUCUGCCUGUAGCCGUUUACCCUCACACCUCCAUUUUCAAAAACAUUUUCCUGGCAUGGAGAAUUUGUUGGUGAUUUGGCUGGCUAGAGCAUCUACCAGAUAUCAGGAACAAGGGAAAGGAAGGCACCAAAGUUAAAGCUAAGAGUUCCAGUCUGAAUAUCUACUUUUCUGGAUUCUGGAAAAUUACAGUAUAAACAGCAAUCUGGUCAAAACAGGAUUAAAAAUCUUCCUCAACUUACAAUGGAGUUAUAUCCUGAUAAACCCAUCAUAAAUUGAAAACAUUGGUAAGUCAAAAAUGUGUUUAAUACGCCUAACCUACUGAAAAUCAUAGCUUAGUCUAACCGAUCGUAAACGUGCUCAGAGCACUUACAUUAGCCUACAGUUGGGCAAGAUCAUCGAAGACAAAGCCUAUUUUAUAAUAAGGUGUUGAAUAUCUCAUGUAGUUUAUUGAAUACUGUACUGAAAGUGAAAAACAGAAUGGUUGGAGGGCUACAGAAUGGUUUUAUGUGUGUGGGUUGUUUACCCUCGUGAUUGCAUCAUUGUUUACCCAGGCAGCUCGCUGCGCUGCCCAGCCUCACAAGAGAGGAUCGGACAGCAUAUCGCUAGACCGGGAAAAGAUUAAAAUUCCAAGUACAGUUUCUACUGAAUGCAUAUCGUUUUCGCACCAUUGUAAAUUCAAAAUAUCCUAAGUCAAAUCAUCGUAAGUCAGGGACCCUCUGUACUUAUCCUCCCUAAGACCUGAAUUUACAUGUCGGUGCUUCUUUGUGUUAACCCACGCUAUUCUAUGUCUUCAUUUUCCUAAAUUCUACCUUUCAUUCAAGGUUCAGGGGCAGCUCUUUCAUGAAGUUGUCCUUGAUCACAUCCCUCUGUCUUGUAAAAGAGCAUCCUCACCUUUUAACUCUGAUGGCAUCCGUUAGCUAAUAUGGGCCAUGUAGCUAAUAUGCAGUCAUAUUACAUGAGUACAAAUCUUACCUGUUCUGCUAAAUCUCUUGUUCCCUGCAUAUUCCUAACCUACUCCCUUGGGCAGACCUGCUUGCUUGUCUGUAUUUGGCCCUUGAGUCUAACCUUGGGCAGGGACGGUUUCAUCUUCAUCAUGCAGCCCCAGGCCUAGCAUAUGUUGUAUGCAUAUGUGCUCAAUCAAUACCUGUUUAUCUAAUGGAUGGGUGGAUUUAUUACAUACUGAAUGAAUUCAUCUAAAACAGGUUGAUUAGCUUAUCUUAGCCUCCUUUGUUAAAAGUCAAAGAAAUGCUGGCAUAGAGAUUUGCAAGGAAGAAGAAUUUUUGCUUAAUUAUGAUAACUAAUUAUCUAAAAAAUAUUUGGCUAAUAUUUUAGUGAGACUCCUAUUAAGAUUCUAGAUGUUCAAAUUACUAUCAACAACCUUUAAAAUUAACAGUGUCUAUUGUAUUUUAUGGAAAUGCCAACCAACUAUCCAGAAUCCUCAUUGGAUUACAUUCUCAUUGAAUAAAAAAUGUGGAAUAUGAAUGCUCAGUGGUUCUUAGCAAUCAAGGAGCCAUGUAGCGCUCCAGUGUAAUGUUUCAACCUUUCCCCAAAACCGUAUUGAGUCUUGGCCAGACAUAUUAGCAUGAGCUGACCGACAAAAGAUGUAGGUUCUAGGAAAGUAAGAAUAGAAAUGAUUCCAGCUAGCAUUAACCCUAUAAGUGUGUUAGUUAUCAUCUGUGUGGUAUGUUAAAGCACUGGCAAGUAGUGAACUACUUUGAAUGAUUACAUUAAGUAAUAUAGGACACAAAAAAACUUUCCAAUACUGUUAAGUCAAGAGGAAAAUUGGAAUGGUGUCUAAUCUAACAUAUGUAUAUACUUUUUCUCCUCCUUCCACUGUAAUCAAAUCAAUCAAUCUCUUUUUCCAUAUAUAUAUACACACAUGUAUAUAUAUACACACACAUAUAUGCAUGUGUAUAUGUAUGUAUAUGCAUUUCUUUCUCUCAAGCAAACACUCACUCAUUUCUUCUCUGUUCCUGCCCCGUCUGGCUUCUGAAAGUCUGAAGAAGUCAGAGCUCUACAGAAAGUCAAUAAAAAUGGUUGUAUUCAAUAUGCGAGGUUCAAGUUACCCUUAAAUUUGGAACUCCUAAUCAACUCUAUAUUUAAUUAAUUACUUAUUUGUAUUAUACAGGGUGAUUCAAAAAGAAUUGCACCUUGGCCACCCAGAUCCUCAGAUGUCUCACUUUGCAACUUCCUUCAGACAGAAUACCUCCGGAACCUCACAUCUGUACUGCACCUUCAUUUUUUUUCAACCUUCAAAAAAUGAAGAAUCUUGUCCUGGCUGCCAUUUCAGUUGUCAAAGGUGACAUUUUACAAAGGGUCAAGGGUGAUUGAUGCGUGCCCUAGGAACAUGAAAGGUGCAUACUGAACAUUUAUUAAAUUAUGGAGAGGGCUUCUUUACAAUGAAAGUUGUCAAAUUAUGGCCCGUGCUCUAAAUCCAUCCUGCCCACUGUUUUUGUAAAUAAAGUUUUAUUGGAACACAGCUAUGCACAUUCCCUUAUGUAUUGUGUACAGCUGCUUAUACUACAACAGAGUUGAAUAUUGCAGCAGAGACUAUCUCACCUGCAAAACCUAAAAUAUUUAGUCUCCGGCCCUUUGCAGAGUAAGUGUGCAGACCCAUCUUUACAAACUGACCUUUUCUACAUGCUCCUAUAAACCCCAGUUACUGGUUAAUGCAUUUCCAAAAGUUGCACUUCUUUUGGAAUCACCCUGUACUUGAACAAUUUCUAUUACAAAAGUCUUAACAAUUAUACCAUAAAAUCGUUGAGAAUAUUUUUGUAUACCCUGCAGAUCCUACAUAGAACAGCAGUGGGUGCAUACUAAGCCUGUUAUAAAUAUUUGUUGAUAGAUUGAUUAAAUUGAGCAUUUAUUAAAAGAAUCAUGAAUCUCAUAAGAAAAAAUUAGCUCUCAGUUUUCCUUGAGUGUAUCUCAUUUUCCACCUAUUUUACUUUUCCUACAUAUCUCUCAGAAUGUUCGAGUCCUAAUAUAUUUAAAUACUAGGUCUGUGUACUAGAGAAGGAUGAAGAAAAAUAAAAAUAUAAAAUACAGGCAAUACCAGCUAUAAAACACACAGCUCACAAAUCUUUUUAUCCCUAGGACCAAAAGAAAAGAGAGAAGAGAAAAGCACCCCAGUUUAUUAUGUCCCAUUUUAAAAAGUAAUAGACUUUUAUUAAGACCUACAAUUAUGAUAGGUAUGGUAUGGGUUAAGAGGCUGGACGAGUAAGACCCCUGGUCUGAGAAGCCUAAAAUCCUAUAGGUGAUAUUAAUAACAUGUUUGUAAUAUUUUAAGGUUUCCAAGCUCUUUCCACAUUCACUGAUCAUUUUAUCCUUACAGUGACAUGUGAACCGGGUUGUCCCAACGUCUCACUUAUCUUUGUCACCUCAUAUUGUUGCUUUACUUGGACAAGAUGGAAAAACAUGUGAUUUAAAACUGUCUUGAUUACAGAUGUAAAAACUUGUCUUCUGAUUCCUAGUUCCCUAUUUUAAGCUAUCCAACCUAGUCUUAAGUCUAGGUUUCAGGAACCGGACAUGAAGCUCUGUGUGACUGAAAUGAACCACCUGUUGUCUUCAAAUGGAAGUGAAGAAAAGGCUUUUCCUGGCUCCUGGAGUGCCCUCCCCCACCGCAUGGUCUACUUGACAGGUUUUAAGACUUGGCUGAAGUGGAAUAGCCUCUGUGAAGACUUCCUUGAUGUCACCUUCCUUCUGGGUAAAUUAUCACACGAAAGACCAGAGGCAGCUGCAUCAGACAGGUUGGAAAAGUAUGCAUUUAUUUCUAAAGAGAAUGAACCUAUUAAGACAGUUUGAAAAAUGGUGCAAAAGAAAUAUAUACCAUCAAUCAAGACUGUGUAUUAACUUUGAGUAAUUGUAGUCUGAAAUCCACAUUCCUGGAGCAAAGAAGUGACAUACCUGCCAUAGAUCAGUGUAAACAUGGAGACAGAACAAUGAGAGCCUGUACAAUAAACGAAGAGGAAGAUUGGUACCAGAUCAAAACAUUUCCCUCAUCUGCCUGCAGUUUAAUCUGGGAAGAACUGGAAUUAAGUUCUGGACCACACCAUGUUUAUGACUGACUACUUAUUAAUUGUAUUUAAAUGUGUCAUAAAGUUAAAUGUGUAGUAAACUAUAUGAAUUUUAUUUCAUAUUUUGAGUUUUUUGAUUUAUAACUACUAAUUCCUUCUAUCAUGAUAAAGUUGUGGGUUGAAAGUACCCAUUCGAUAUUACGAAAGGUAAAUACCACAAUCGGUAGAUCAGAGUGGUGGUUACAAUCAAGAUUCUAGUGACCAAAGUCAGACCAGUUGGGUCUGCAGCAUGCUUUAUAGACUAGUAUCUCUGUAGGACCUGUUACUCUUUGAAUAUUUAUUCAAUAAUUGAAUAAUUCAAUGUUCAAUUGAAUAAUUCAGUAACUGAAGGUCUAAGCGUCAGGCAUUGUUUUGAUCUUAUAACCUUCUCAAGAAUCUAUGAAUUAAGUUGUAAUUUCUCCACUUAAGGAUAAUGAAGCUGAAGCUUAAGAAGGUUUAAGUACCUUCACCAGCCAACAAGAAGAGCGCUCAAGAUCCAAACCUAGUUCAUUCCAAAGUAAAGCUCGGUCUUAACUACCGUGCAGGUCUGUUUCUGUGCUACAUCUCUGGAUGAUUUCAUUUCAGGGCAUUUGUGUCUGAAUUGAGGAUAAUCUUUUGCAUCAAAUUGAUACAGAUUUUGAUGCUAAUCUGUGUAUCAUGAAUCAUGGUUAGUCACAGAAGUUAUUUGUUCACUUUGUAAUUGUUACACCUUAAACUCAUUGACUUUAAUGAAAUGGCUGAUAGUAAUAUUGGAGGCCUAAUUGUUAGCUUGGGCAGGUGGACCGCAGGCUUGGUAUUUAAUCACAUAAUGUGCCUUUGUGAAAACAGAACAGUUGUAAGACCGGCAUCAGCAAUUCCUGAGGGAGGAUUCCAAGAAGCAGCUAAGACCUUGAAAAUUCCCCUGGGUAUUAUGGAUUUCAUUUUAAGUGAAAAUGCAAAGCAAUUAAAUUUCUUGUAACUGAAUUCCUUAAUUAUACACAGUUUCUAUUGCUCAUUUUUUAGUUAAAAGUUGACCUUGAUUUCUUGGAAAUAUGUAAAAAUAUAGGUGCAAAUGGAAAAAGACUGGAAGAUAAUAUACAAGAAAAAAUAUUUUUGGUCUUAGGAUAGUAGGAGAGCUAGGAUGAUUUUCCCCCUUUUAAAAAUGUUCAAUAUUAUUGUUUUAGUUGUUUCCCAUUUUUAAAAGAAACAAAUGUAAAAUAAGUAAAACUUAUUUACUAUCUAAUGCAUAGAACAACAUAGUGGGUUGGAUUCCAUUUUACUAUUUAUGCGGUGUUACACAAGUCACUUAAUUCUAUACAUUAAUAAAUAUUUUUACUAAAUCUAAAAUAAAUAUCAUAGUUAGAAAUUUGAAUCCCUAGAUAUAUAUUUUAAAUGUUUUCAUCUCAAUCUUUCAUCAUUUUUAAAAUAGGCAUUUUUGGGGCUGGCCCUGUGGCAUAGUGGUUAAGUUCAUGUGUAGUCCAGGGUUCAUAGGUUCAGAUCUGGGCAUGGACCUAGCACUGCUCAUCAAGCUAUGCUGUGGAGGCGUCCCACAUACAAAACAGAGGGAGAUUGCCACAGAUGGACAAUCUUCCUCAAGCAAAAAGAGGAAGAUUGGCAAUAGAUGUUAGCUCAGGGCCAAUCUUCCUCACAAAGAAAAAAAAUAACAUAAAAUAGGCAUUUUCCUGCCUGUUUUAGGUAGGAUUGUAAUUCAUGUCUUGGGUGAUACUUAUGCUGAAAGCAAAUUUUUUUUAGCCCCUCAUCCUGUUCUUUAUUCUUUGCCUGCUUGCAACAACACACCAUCUCCCAUUACAAAACCUAUGUAACUCUAUUCAAUAUCUGGUGUUUUCACCUUUUAGGAAUCUCUCCAAAUUUCCUGACCAAAAAAAAAGCUAGAAAAGCAGAUAAAAGGUCCAUGAAUGACCUUUAAAAAAACUGGAUUACAAAUUAUCCUCCAAUACUCCCAAUAUGAUCCAUUGAGGGCAAAUCACCUGUCGUAGGUUGAAAUGUGUUCUCAAAAAGAUAAGUUCAAGUCCUAACAACUGUGAAUUUGACCUUAUUUGGAAAUAGGAUUUUUGUAGAUGCCAUCAAGUUAAGACUAGGUCAUGUUGGAUUAAUAUGGGCCUUAAUCCGAUGACUGGUGUCCUUAUAAAGCAAGGGAAAUUUGGGCACACAGAAGACACACAGGGAGAAGGCCAUGUGACAAAAGAGGCAGAGAUGAGAGUGAUGCAUCUACAAGCUGAGGAACGUCAAGGAUUGCCAGCAGUCACCAGAAGUAAGGAAGAAGCAAGGAAGCCUUCAGAGAGACCAUGGCCUUGACAACACUCUGACUUCAGACUUCUGGCCUCCAGAACUGUGAAAGAAUUGCUGCUGUUUUAAGCCACUCCAUUUGUGGUAAUUUUUUUUACAGCAGCCCUACUUUGGGUGUUCAUCACCCAAACCUGCAUGGUCCAUGUGGAAUCACUAUCUGUGUUGGAUGAAGAGAGGGAAGCACUGUGGCAUCUGAUGACCCUGGUAACAGGAGGACCCCCAAAUUUGAAACAGGUACUCAAUGAGAACAGCAGCCGAAACUGGGAAGGAUUCUGCUGGAUUGAAUUCAUGAGUGUCUGCAAGAGGCCAUGAGAGGAUAAGGUCUAAUAAUGUCUGAUGAUACUGGAGGAAUCCAACCCACAUAAAACUAGCACACCAAAGAUCCCUUCCAGGGAAGUUCUGCUUUGAACAUGGUGGAGUUACAGCCCACCCAGCCUUCCUUCAGAUAAACUGAGAAAAAUACAAAACCAGCAACAAGCAAAAGCAGGCAGACUUUGGAAGAGAGUCAAUACUUGGAGGAAGUGUUUCGCUCGGAAAUAAGCCCCCUGUUCUCCUGUUUUGGUUUCUGUUUUGUAGCAUUACCCUGAGAGCAUCUGCAGUGCCACUGGAAGUGUAGGAGGGCUGAAACUCUGACAGACUGCUCCCCUUCUUUCUAGUAAGGAGAACCAGAGAAGGGGCUCAGGCAAUCAGAGCUUCCAGAGAGUGAGGAGGGAAUCCCAGAAAGGGAAGAAUGAGAGAUGGAGGACCCCAAAGAAUGUGUGAAAACCUGCCGAGCCUCUGGCUCACCCUGGGACCAAGCACGCACAGAACAAACUGAAGUCAGUCUGAACUGAGAGCGGAGCCAACACCCAACACAGCUGUUGACAGUUUGCAGUUUGAGUUGAACUCAGUUAAUUGCCUGCUAAAACAUAAAUAUCACCAUUCCGGAGGAAAAUAACAGAAGCCAAAAUGUCCAGGAUAUAAGGCAAAAUUACUAUAUGUACAAAAAGCCAGAAAAGAUAUGAUCCAUUUUAACAGGAAAAGACAAUCAACUGACGCGAACCUCAAGAUGACCAAGAUGUUAGAAUUAUCAGACCAGGGCUUAGCAGCAGCUAUUUGAAUACACUGAAUGAGGCCAAAGGAGACAUGCUCACAGGGAAUCAAAGUGUAGACAAUUUAUAGAAAUGUAAAAGAGGAACAGAUUUUUAAACAAAAAUACAAUAUAAAGUAUAUUUAUAUAAUAUAAAACAGUAUAGGUUUAAAUAUAAAAUUUGUUGGAUGACAUCAGUAGAAGAAUAGAGAUAUGGAGAUGACAGAAGAAAUAAUCAGUGAACCUGAAGAUAGAUAGAUGGAUAGAUAGAUAGAUAGAUAGAUAUAGAUAUAGAUCUGUUUCUGAGGAAUGGACGAGAGUGAGCUCUAGACAAGAAAUAAGACUGGAAAUACAUUGACAUAAAGACUGGUGGUGAGCAUUAAGUAGAUAUUUAAUUUGUAGUACUAAGAAUAAUGGUUAUAAGGGAGAAAAUAUUG
ensembl:lncRNA